AAGAGCUAUUUUAUAAGACGAGCGACACAAGUUCUCAAUGGAUCACUGAAGUUAAGCAACGUUACGCGUGGUUAGUAUACGUGUGGGUGACCAUCUGGGCAAUCACGUGCUGCUGGUU
rnacentral:rRNA from 1 species